CAUCCGUUCCAUUGAUCAUGUUACAAGUCUUUGUUGUCCACCAGUUCAAUGACUCUUUUCCUUUCCAUUCCACAAUUCUUGAGAAGUUAAGGUAGUUCAUUUCUCCACUUAGGAAAACAUAUUCGCCAUCAUCAGUUCCAUUCAUCUUAUUAAAGAAGCCAAACACUGGAUCGAUUUCAGGAUGCAAAACAUGAAUGGUUGACAGGAGUUUGUCUUUGUAGCCCCACAGUAAUUCAUGCACUGUGCGAACUGUAAACAGGGAUUCUUGGUAUAGGAGCAAUAGCACCUCCGUGGCAAACUGAAGAGAAGUUGCCCUGGUCCACUCCAUUGCAGUCACUGCAGGAACAUUGAUGGUUCUAAUCAAAUCCACUUCAGGGUUUCCAACUGACUUCUCAGGUUCAAAUACAUACGUCUUUGGAUUCAGAGCAGAUACUUUGGUGCCAUUAUCCAAAAACUGAACAUGC
rnacentral:lncRNA from 1 species